GACUUAAAUGUGGUAUUAUUCAAACGACAUGCAAGAAAGCCAAGAGGAAUGAGAACAGAAAAUCUUACCCACCUCGUCACACACCAUCUUGGUCUGGUUCAGGAACAAGAAGCAAUGCCUUAAUACACAUUUCUUUACCUCAGUUUCCAAUAGCUUCUGAAAAAAUGUGAGUUCACUUCUAGAUGACCCAAGCUUUGUCUGAAACCCCAGCUAGAAACAAAGUCCAUUCCCCUGAAUCUUCAUUCAAGAAUUUUGAAAUUUAAAUCAAAAUGUUUAUUAAUAGAAUUAUUUAUUAAAAUGUUUUCAAUUAAUGAGAAUAAAAAAAAAGAAUAAAUCAUUUUAGGCGUCGGAAUUUAAAUGAAUCGCCGAAAUCAUAUAUAUAAUGAGGCUCUUUUCUCUCUUUUGAGAGUGUCCACGUAGACAGUUCAUGGGUCCCACCAAAAUCAUCUUUAUUCAAAACCGAAGCGGAGACUCCGAUCGUCGUCCACCACGAUCAAAGCUAUUAUGUCAUUCAAAGAGAUUUGGAUUCUUCAUCUCCCCCUUGACUCCACCUAUAUAAACUCUCCCGAAUCCAAAUCUUCUCUGAAAGCUUCCAUGGAUAAGAAACAGUCAGAUUUCCAGAUCCAACGCUUUGGAUAAAGCUCCGGCAAUAUCGAGCAGCGCAUCCAUGGCUAAGAAUCCAGCGAAAUCACAACAAAAUCUCCAACUGAAUCGAGCACCGGUUCCAUGGAUAAGAAAAAGGGGGUUGCUUGGCUCUAUCUACAUCCCUGAUGAGAAGAAUUCGGUGAUCAUGGAUUUAUUCCUGCUGCUCGCGCUUCCAUAAAGAGUGUUUGAGAAUCGUUGCAGUAUGCGAAGCAUUUAGCCGGUACAAGAAUCCAGAUGCUGUUCGACAAGUUCGAGAGUAUCCUUUUUCUCAUUUAGUUGUUUCAUAGUGUUUAAUCCAUGGUAGCGUUUUGACAUGUUUGCAUCUUUAUUAGUUUCAGGUAAAUCGAGUGGAGAUUUGAUUUGUGUUUAGUUUGGUUUACUGCACUAGCUCCUGUUGUAUUAAAUCUGCCUUUAACUAACUUAAACAUUUAUAGACUGCCGAGUUCCUAUGUAAUGGGGAUGUUGCCAGUAUUGAAACAACAAAUGGAUGGUGCUAUGGCUCAUGCCCCAAGUUCUCAUCAUGCACGUGUGCCGGCCUGCCAUGAUGAAAAUGCGGUUGGAGUUGCAAGGUACCGGGUUGAGAUGUUAGUUAUUGAUGUAUCUGACACCGCCGUGUUCGUUACUUUUGAUGGUGAGAUGAACAAGUCGACCAGUGGUCCUGCUGUAGCAGCGUCCAUGAUAACGUCUGAAGAAUAUUCGUUUUUUUUUGCUAAUUCGUUUUUAAGGUACUGUCAUGUGAUGUUGAACAUGGUGUCACUUCUGCAGAAGAUCGAAGAAGCCAUGCUCAAAUAACCUUAAUCCUAGAAAGACCGGAACUGGAACAUAUGUUUGAAUGAUGGAAAAGAGUCCCUUCGAUCAGAAAAAGUUUCCCUUCCUGAGUUCAACCUUCAUGGUCAACAUGACAUCUUAAUGGAAAAGAGUCUUAUUUCUCCUCAUGUAAUUGAUACAGAUUGGUGUGCUAUUUGAGGUUAAAGACUAUUAGUACUUUUCAAUUCCUUAGUUUUGUAAGAAUAUGCCAUAUAGUCUACCUUAAAUUCCACAGAAUACUGAAUAGACAUCAACUCAUUGAGUUUGAGGUAAGAUGUUAAAUCUUUUCUAUCAUCAGCUAAGUCGUUUUUUGACACAAGACUUUUAUACCAUUGCAUUGAACAGCUCUGUAUUCUUGGAAAUCUCUGUCCUGAAACUGCUGAAGAAGCAGUGGCAAUGGUUCCUUUUCUCAAGGUACAAUAAAGAAAAUUCUAACCUUUUCUAUUUUGUGGAAUAGCUUUUUUGUAGACAAAAGGAAGAGCUUACAGUGAGUAAGCAAUUGAGAAAAUGCUCAAUGAUCUCUCCCUUGUCUAGAGAUUCAAAUAGUGCAAAAAAUCUCGAGAUCUAAGAUUUUAAACAUAUGUCAGGGUGUAAUAUUCUCUUUUUAGCUGAUGCUGUGUGUUUGUAAUUAAAUUAUUAAGAAAGGCAGUGACAGAUUAGGGAUGUGAGCAAUCCAUAUACUAAAUAAUCA